UCCUAGUUAACCUAGGCAGUCUCGCUAGAGUCCCCACCAUUACGUGCUGGUAACUAGCAACAAGGGUUGCGCUCGUUGCGGGACUUAACCCAACACCUCACGGCACGAGCUGACGACAGCCAUGCAGCACCUGUUAAGAGGCCCUUGCGGGAAACACCAUUUCUGAUGCGGUCCUCAAAAUGUCAAGCCUGGGUAAGGUUCUUCGCGUUGCAUCGAAUUAAACCACAUGCUCCACUGCUUGUGCGGGCCCCCGUCAAUUCUUUUGAGUUUCACCCUUGCGAGUGUACUCCUCAGGUGGCAUACUUAACGCGUUAGCUCCGGCACAGUUGGGGUUGAGACCAAACUACACCAAGUAUGCAUCGUUUACGGCAAGGACUAC
rnacentral:misc_RNA from 1 species